rnacentral:rRNA from 1 species
UAGGGAAUCUUCGGCAAUGGACGAAAGUCUGACCGAGCAACGCCGCGUGAGUGAAGAAGGUUUUCGGAUCGUAAAACUCUGUUGUUAGAGAAGAACAAGGACGUUAGUAACUGAACGUCCCCUGACGGUAUCUAACCAGAAAGCCACGGCUAACUACGUGCCAGCAGUCGCGGUAAUACGUAGGUGGCAAGCGUUGUCCGGAUUUAUUGGGCGUAAAGCGAGCGCAGGCGGUUUCUUAAGUCUGAUGUGAAAGCCCCCGGCUCAACCGGGGAGGGUCAUUGGAAACUGGGAGACUUGAGUGCAGAAGAGGAGAGUGGAAUUCCAUGUGUAGCGGUGAAAUGCGUAGAUAUAUGGAGGAACACCAGUGGUGAAGGCGGCUCUCUGGUCUGUAACUGACGCUGAGGCUCGAAAGCGUGGGGAGCAAACAGG